CUCAAUUAUCCCAUUUUUGGCAGCACACACACAUCUAUGCCCAUGAUUUGUGCACAUUGUGCCCAAUUCAUCCCACAAGCCUUUGAGCUUGUUGAAGUAAGAGACUAUAUCUAAGGAGCCUUGAGAUGUGUGGGAAAGUUCCCUCUUUAAUCCAAAGAUAUUGGUCUUGUUAGGGGUACCAUAUCUUUUCUCAAUUUGGGAC
rnacentral:lncRNA from 1 species